GGCGGCAUGCCUAAUACAUGCAAGUCAAACGGGUGUAGCAAUACACAAGUGGCGAACGGGUGAGUAACACAUAGACAACUUGUCCUUAAGACGAGGAUAACAGUUGGAAACGACUGCUAAAACUGGAUAGGAUAAAGUAACGCAUGUUAAGAUAUUUAAAGAUGCUUUUGGGCAUUACUUAAGGAGGGGUCUAUGUCGCAUUAGCUAGUUGGUGAGGUAAGGGCUCACCAAGGCGACGAUGCGUAGCUGUGCUGAGAGGCAAAACAGCCACACUGGGACUGAGACACGGCCCAGACUCCUACGGGAGGCAGCAGUAGGGAAUCUUAGACAAUGGGCGCAAGCCUGAUCUAGCCAUGCCGCGUGAGCGAUGAAGGCCUUAGGGUUGUAAAGUUCUUUUAUAUGUGAGCAGUGCUUCUUAUAUUAACAGUAUGGGGAGAGAGAUAUUAGCAUAUGAAUAAGCAACGGCUAACUCCGUG
rnacentral:rRNA from 1 species